ACAACUUCUCUGUGCUCCGUGAAAACUUACGAACCCUGGUGGUGUCCUCGGGAGCCAGGAUGAAAACCAGCAUCGUGGACCCAAGAAGUGUGGCCAGAGGGAAGAAACUUGAAGCCACCUGUCUAUAGCAGUGUCUUGGCAGUCAGGAAUAAAUGGACAUACAUUCCAAGGUCAUGAGAAAGAAAUGCAAUUAGUAUGUAAAACAGCGGCUCUCCUGGAAAUGACUGCUUGGGGGGGGGCUGAGCUCAGAUGAGAAGAUUUACAACAGAGAAAAGCUGUGUGAAGCCAGUGGAUGUGCAGGAGCCACCAACGUGACAAAAAUCGCUAGGGCCCUAGAGGGCGACUGAGAAUUAGAAACAGGAUUUGAGCCCCAGGUGAUGUUCUGUCUUUGAAGGCGGAGUCUUUAAGCUCAGCAUCUUGUACAAGCUUUCCGCUCUCCCAAAUGCUCCCCAAUAUGUGUUUUCAAUUGGACUUUGAAACUAACACCCUAUGUUUUUGGAGAAAACUUAAGACAUUAUGAAACUCAAUAACAGCAUCAAAGGUGCUGAUCAUUCAGACAGUGUCACAGAGUUGGGGAUAUAUAAAAAAAAGUCAUUCUUAAA
rnacentral:lncRNA from 1 species